CUCACGUAUUUCUGGAUAAAACCCAGACAAGAGUGAUUGCUCCAUCUGGGUCAUCUCUGACUUUGCACUGCUGCUUGAGCACAAAGAAAUAUGAGAGAUAUCGAGUGUCUUGGUAUUUUAGCUCACAUGGACCUUCAUUCAGCAACUCAGGGAAUCUGUGCAGUAAAAUAAUUAACAAGUUUGCAAACAGUUCCACUGAAGGCAGUGAAAAUACACACAUUUUAUCUGUUGUUAAUGAAACAUGCAGUGGAUGGUACUUUUGCAAAAUCACAGGAGAGGUUCCCAGUUUAACAGAAAUUCGGAGCAAUGGAAAAGAAGUACUGGUUUCAAACAUCUUUCAAAGAAGAAGAAGAAGAAAAGGAGCUAAGCCCUGUUCAGGCCGUUCGUGCAGCGUGCCCAAAAAGAAGCGUAAAUUUUUUUUUGUCGAGCCGUUACAACAGACAACAAUCUUGUGGAUCAACAGAAGAGCAAUCUGUGUGGACAAUGGCCAAAAGAAGAGCCUAAACACGUCGAUUCAGCUGCAACAGGCCCCAGUGAUCAUCAAGGAUCGCAGUUCAGCACGCCAGUGAAUACUAACUGCCUCCAACCGACACUUUGCUCCUGAUAAUGUGUACAUCUAAUUAUUAAAAAACAUUCUGAUUAGGUCGACAGCUCAUCAGGAAAGGACAGAAAAACAAUAAACAAAUCCAAUUUACUUCAUAUACUCAAAGGCUGUCAAUGACAAAAAGGAGUAAAACAGAAGCUAAGGACAUAAAGGAUGCUGUGGCCAUUGGGUUUUAUCAUUUCUAUUUUUUCUGAAUUUUUACCUUCAAAUCUUAAUAUUAAUUCAAUCUUUUUUAUUAUAUAUACAUUUUUGUUGUACAAUCAUUGCAAAUUAGAGAAUUUUUUAAAUCAUGAAAGUUUUUUUUCUACAAGAAUAAACAGAAAUUAUUGAAAGUGUCUCUCUUCAUCUUUGUGUUUUAAACAAUGCAAAAUGUCCUGUAAUCUUAUCAUCAUGUGCUUAUGAUUUUUCUAACAAAUGACUGAAUUUUAUGCAUUACCAAUGUGAAAUCACAGCCUAAUCUUAAUGCAGAUGUUUGCACACAUACAGUACUGUACAUGCAAAAGAUGCUUGAAGUGGGGAAACACUUCAAGACAUUUUCUCUGUGGGAGGAUUGUUCACCUAUUUCCAAUCCUGAUUAUGACCGCCACCUCUCAGGCCGCCCAUACGUCUGUAAAGUCAGUUAUGAUCUGGGUGUCUGGUUUAUGAUUAUAUCAGGCUGCAGUGACUUGACAAAAACUUUUUUUUAUGAGUCAGACGUGAAUAAUAAAUUAGACCAAAUAUAAAAUGUAAUGAAUUAUGUGACAUAAAAAAUGGAUUUUCUUUCAGUAACCUCAAAGAAAUUUGUUCAUCGUGCAUUUUUUUAACCAUCAUACCUUCUUUUUUGUUUUUUGCUUUCUUACACUCAAUCUCAACAUGUUCAGUGCUGAAUUAAAUUAAAACAAAUGAAAUUGAG